rnacentral:rRNA from 1 species
AUUGAACGCUGGCGGCAUGCCUUACACAUGCAAGUCGAACGGCAGCACGGGAGCAAUCCUGGUGGCGAGUGGCGAACGGGUGAGUAAAGUAUCGGAACGUGCCCAGUCGUGGGGGAUAACGUAGCGAAAGUUACGCUAAUACCGCAUACGAUCUAUGGAUGAAAGCGGGGGAUCGCAAGACCUCGCGCGAUUGGAGCGGCCGAUAUCAGAUUAGGUAGUUGGUGGGGUAAAGGCUCACCAAGCCGACGAUCUGUAGCUGUGUGUCUGAGAGGACGACCAGCCACACUGGGACUGAGACACGGCCCAGACUCCUACGGGAGGCAGCAGUGGGGAAUUUUGGACAAUGGGCGCAAGCCUGAUCCAGCCAUGCCGCGUGCAGGAUGAAGGCCUUCGGGUUGUAAACUGCUUUUGUACGGAACGAAAAGGUUUGGCCUAAUAAGCUGAGCUCAUGACGGUACCGUAAGAAUAAGCACCGGCUAACUACGUGCCAGCCGCCGCAGUAA